GGAUGUGAGUGCAGUCUGGUUGCAACAUCUGUGAGUCCGCUGAUUGCCAGUAUUGAUUCUAGUGAUCUGGCUGGCUAGGAGAGUGUCCCCUUCAUCCCUCGCCACUCCAUAUGUGUCUCCCCUAAAGUUGCACUGUCAGUCAAGAGGAUGACCACCUCAAGAGAGGAAGACCAAUUCCUUGGUCAGGGUUACACAAGAAGUGGUACUCCCCUGCUAGAACCUUCAAACAAGCUUUGAAGAAUAUUAUAUUAUAUUAUAUUAUAUUAUAUUAUAUUAUAUUAUAUUAUAUAAAUUAUAUUAUAUGUCAUGUAUAUAUUU
rfam:Cavia porcellus supercont2_4 genomic scaffold, whole genome shotgun sequence.